GUCUCCUACUAUUGGUGUAUGGGGUUUGAUGUGUGAUUUAAGCAUUAGUAAUGUUUCUUUUACAUAUUUGGUCUUCUCGUAUUAGGGGUAUAAAUGUUCAGGACUGAGACUUCAUCUUGAUAGAUUGUUCCUGUUAUGAGCAUAAAGUAUCCUUCUCCAUCACUUCUGACUGAUUUUAGUUUGAAUUCUAUUUUAUUAGAUAUGAUGAUAGCUACACCUUCUUUUUUCUUAGGUCCAUUUGAUUGGAAAACCUUUUCCCAACCCUUUACACUGAGGCAAGGAUUGGUGACACCUCUUCCAGAUAACACUGUGACUAUUAGUGAAAAAAAAGUUCACUGAAAGAUUCAAGAAAUCAUCAAGACCCAGUGGCAUUGUCGUUGGCUUCUCAGCAGCCCUCAUUGUCCGCCAUAUUCAGAGAGUCCGGUUUUAUCCCAUGCUUUUUCAGCCGCAGUCCAGCUGGACUUGGUUGACAAGCUGAGGGUGCUAGAGAUGUUUGCGUCAGGUGCCAUUUUCUCUCAGCCUGAUCACUGAGUGAACCUCGGUUCCUAAGAUAUUACACUAUAAAAAAGAGAAAGAACGAUGAUCAAGGAGCAGCCCCUGAGAUGUGCUGAGGUAGGUAUUUCUAGAAAUGAGUCUUAGUGAUAAGGUACAAUUAUUGAUUCUGAAAAAGUAUGGUAACUCUUUCAUAGUUAAUGCCACAGCA